rnacentral:tRNA from 1 species
GCUUUCCUGGUGUAGUGGUGAGAAUUCUCGGCUCGUAUUCGAGAGGUCCGUGGUUCGAAUCCCGGCGAUGGCA